CGGUAACAAGAACUGGGGUGAAGAAAAAUGGCAGCAGGUGCUCUGGACUGAUGAGUCAAAAUUUGAAAUAUUUGGCUGUAGCAGAAGGCAGUUUGUUCGCCGAAGGGCUGGAGAGCGGGACAAUGAUGAGUGUCUGCAGGCAACAGAUGGAGG